AGUUUAGUGUAUAUGUUUCGUUAUGAAUCUCAUGUCUAAAUGAACUAUAUAUAGUGACUGAACCUAAUCAUACUAUGUCAGUAGGUCUUGCUUAUACUAGUUUUAAAAUAUGUAUACAAAAACUGACAUGGUUAUAUAUUCAUUGUUGUUAAAGACCUAAUAAUAUAUUUCUUGGAUGCUAGUUUAUAAUCAACAUUAUUAAUCAAUCGGAAUUAGGGAUGAUCUAACAGUGAAUUGCGAGAAAAUAUCUUUGAUGCCCACAAUCUCCUUCACUAUCAGUGGAAGAACUUUUACUAUCUCCUCUAAAGAUUAUGUAGAAAUAUCGCCCUUCAGACGUGAGUACACCACCUUAUUCAAGCCCAAUAUUUAUAGCAGUAAUAGACUGAUAGUAGCAGUGGUGAUGGUGAUGAUUAUGAAAUUGAUGAUAAUCUUUGCUAUGAACUAUGGAAUAAAGUUGCAACAAGACUACAGCUCCAACCGCACAGGAUCUGGUCGGACACUAUGGAUCAGAUGACUUUGCUUCAGCUACCAAAACCACAUCGUCUUCUUGUCUUAACAACUUGCCAGGUGACGCCAUACUGAAUCUGGAAUGAAAGAAACACUCAACUGCAUGCUAUAACCUAUUGAUCAAGCGACUCUGUCCAAUUAAGUGAAGUCAAUUAAGGUUUACACCGAUGUGGAGAUAGAAAAAAACAAGAGGCCAGGUAUAUAAAGAAAAGACCAAGGACCGAAGAAGAGA